GGCUUCAGUGGUCCCUUCUUCAGUUUUCCUUGAGAAAUUUAUCUUUUAGACAACUCUUUCUAUAAAUCGAUACUUUGAACAAUUGGCAUAUGUCAAUGUUUGCCUUAGUUCUGUUGCCUCGUUUCUUUUAGACUGAGAGAUACACUAAUAUGGACAGCUAAUGUUUUUAAUGUUAACAAUAAAUUCUAAAAUCAUUUUUACAAUUCUGCAGGCACUUUUUACAAAACUCACUUGAAAGCUUGAUGCAGCAUUUGACACGGCAUAGCAUCAGAAAUACUGAUUUGUAGAACUCUCAUUUUUUAUGUAUUAUUCCAGGUGCUAUCUCAUGUCUAUACAUCUCAUAUGUGAAAUAUAUGUACAUUAUUAUAUCUUUACCAUAAUCUAGUACUAUGCAUUACAAGAGUAAACUGAAUCUCAGUGUGGUAUAGUAAUUUGCUCCAAAUCACACAGCUAAUAAAUUACAGCACCAGGAUACGAACAUUCUCUCUGACUCCUAGGCACCAGCUGUUUCUACCACAUUGGGGUACUUCUCAUAAGAUUAAAACCCUCACAAUUCCCUUAAAGAAAGCACUCGAAUAUAGUUGCUAGAACAAGUGACAGCAGGCCAAAUUUAUGUCAUAAUGCAAGGUUCAAAAUAGAAUUUUGAGAAGUGUUAGGGAAAUGCUUUGUGGGGCCAAAGUGAGAGGUUUUAAUGAGAAGAGGCAAGGCCCAGACAACUUGAUGCCCAAUGAUGAUGGCCGUAUUACUGGCAAUUUUGUAAAAUUUUUCUUUGGUGCUGCAUCAAAUUACAAUUUGAAAAUGGACUCCAAGCUUUAAUCCAUUUUCUUGAGUCUAGAGGAAUCUGAAUGCACAAAAGGAAACCGACCUGGAGGCCUCGUCUUGGAGAGUCUGUGAACAGAAGAAUACAGUGUCCCCUUUUCCCGUCGUCCGUCUGCGUUGCAGUGUUCUGGGAGCACAGAUCAGAUCAGCUGAUAGUAGCAAUGGCAGCAUGGGACUGCCAUCGUGGAAUACCCCAAAGGGAAGCAGGCAUUCCCCCUGAAGAAUGUUAGGCAUUUUUUUUCUGCUUUACCAGACACAAAGGAGGAAAGCACAAGAACGGAAACUCGCCCGGUCGCCUGCCUCGUGGAUGUUUUCCUGGCCUAUUUUGUAGGAGUCUGUCAAACUCAUAGAAGUGAAGACAUACAAGUCCUUAAAGUCAUUAAUUAAUGCCUUCCAUCUUACACUUAUUUUCAUCCAGUUCACAAUUUUGAAUAUAUAAAACAUUAAUGUAAAGGAAUAUGUAAGCUGUUAAAAGAUUUUAUUGGCAUAUCGAUUCUUGAUUUAUUCCUUUGUACAGUUUCCAUCUCAGUUCUGUGAUGUCUGUGAAAUUGUCUUUUUGCCUCUUGUACCACCUAAAUGGUCAUUAGGAAACAGUGCCUGUGGGCUCAGGGGAGAUGCCAAGACUAGUCGUUUGCCCCUUUGUGGAGGAUAUCGUGUUCUGGCUGUGAAAGUAAAAUGUGCUCAUGUGCUCAUAGUAUUUACUUAUAAUUAUAGACAAAAAUAAUCAUCCAUGGUCUUACCGCCAUUAAUAUUUUAGCAUAUCAUUUUCUAUUCCUCUUUUCCAUGCAUUUGUAAAAUAGAAAUUUUGUACAUUUAAUAAUUGUGGGGAAAAGUCUUAUUAAACAUGGAAAUUUGAAAUAAUGAGCACAGUGACGUGUUGGCAUCAUGUAAGUGUAGAUUCAUCCUGUUAGCACAUAUAGUUCAGAGUGUGAGCAUCGCUGAACGCUUUUUCAUUCAUGCAUUGAGAUAAUUCAGUUUACAAUACGGUCACAGAGGUUGUCAUGUCAUAAUAAUACAUCCAUAAUAAGCCUUGAUUAAGAAAACUAUGCAGAGACCUCCACUAAAGAGAUCUCCUGACGUGUUUAUUUUGACAUCAGAUCAACUUUUUUACAAACAAAUGCAGAAAGGCAAGCAUGGUAGCUUGUCCAGGUUAGGUUAAUUUGUAUAUGAUAUUGCAUUCAUUCAUUCAUUCAACAAAUAUUGCCUGAAUGCUUACACUGUGCCCGGGACUGUGCUGGGGGUCAGAAUACAGCAGUGAAUAAAAUCCUCCAUCUUUGUCCUUAGGAAACUUAC
rnacentral:lncRNA from 1 species